rnacentral:rRNA from 1 species
AUUGAACGCUGGCGGAAUGCUUUACACAUGCAAGUCGAACGGCAGCACGGACUUCGGUCUGGUGGCGAGUGGCGAACGGGUGAGUAAUAUAUCGGAACGUAUCCAAUAAUGGGGGAUAACUAAUCGAAAGGUUGGCUAAUACCGCAUACGUCCUACGGGAGAAAGCUAGGGACCUUCGGGCCUGGCGUUAAUGGAGCGGCCGAUAUCGGAUUAGCUAGUUGGUGAGGUAAAGGCUCACCAAGGCGACGAUCCGUAGCUGGUCUGAGAGGACGACCAGCCACAAUGGAACUGAGACACGGUCCAGACUACUACGGGAGGCAGCAGUGGGGAAUGUUGGACAAUGGGCGAAAGCCUGAUCCAGCCAUUCCGCGUGAGUGAAGAAGGCCUUCGGGUUGUAAAGCUCUUUCGCAAGAGAAGAAAACUUACCCUCUAACAUAGGGUGAGGUUGACGGUAUCUUGAUAAGAAGCACCGGCUAACUACGUGCCAGCAGCCGCGGUAA